UUCUUCUUCCUCCAUCACCACCUGACUUCACUAGACCGGACCUGACCGGAUCCCAGAUCGGUUUUUCAUCGUGGCAGGCAGUGUGACAGACCGCUGAGCAGAUGGAAGAAAAGCUGCUUGUCAGGUGUCCCAAGAGGCAUCGGCUUCCACACAGUAGCUGGAUGAGAGCGAACCUGGAAGUGUCAUCAGGGGGCGGCUGCAAAAACCAGGAAGAGAGAUCCGGCUCCCAAUGAUGUGUAAAUGAAGAUGGGAGAGCGGGCCCCAACUUGUGGCGGAGGUUUCCAGCAGUGCAAUGCGAGAUUGGCUGAAUUAUGUUAAAUAAGGAUAAAAGCUUGUCAGAUAUACCAAGAGGCAUCGGCUUACACACAGUAGCUGGAGGAGAGCGGACCUGGAAGUGUCUUCAGGGGUCGGCUACAAAAAACAGGGAGAGAUCUGACUCCUAAUGAUGUGUAAAUGAAGAUGGCGGAGCGGGACCCAACUUGUGGCGGAGGUUUCCAGCAGUGCAAUGCAAGAUUGGCUGAAUUCUGUUAAAUAAGGAUUAAAGGUUAGAAAGCAAUUUAAAAAAAAUGAUCAUAAAUAUAUAAUGAUGUUGGGUGGGAGUGUUAACAACCAUGAGCUGACUGUAAUUAUGUGUUUCUGUGUAUUACACUUUG